rnacentral:rRNA from 1 species
AUUGAACGCUGGCGGCAGGCCUAACACAUGCAAGUCGAGCGAGCGGCGGACGGGUGAGUAAUGUCUGGGAAACUGCCUGAUGGGGGGGGAUAACAACUGGAAAAGGUAGCUAAUACCGCAUACCAUCAGAUGUGCCCCGAUGGGAUUAGCUGGUAGGUGGGGUACAGGCUCACCUAGGCGACGAUCCCUAGCGGGUCUGAGAGGAUGACCAGCCACACUGGAACUGGGACACGGGCCAGACUCCUACGGGAGGCAGCAGUGGGGAAUAGUGCACAAUGGGCGCAAGCCGGAUGCAGCCAUGCCGCGUGUGUGAAGAAGGCCUUCGGGUUGUAAAGCACUUUCAGCGGGGAGGCGUUACCCGCAGAAGAAGCACCGGCUAACUCCGUGCCAGCAGCCGCGGUAAUUC